AGACUGUUCAGAGGUGAGAACACCACUGUGAAGACAGGCACAGACAGUUCAGAGACAGGAGCAACAACAACGACGAUGACAACAACAACGAGGAUGAGAGGCAGGGGGUUGGACUUGAUGAUCUACAAGGUCCCUUCCGACCCUACUUCUGUGAAUCUAUGGGACAGCUGCCGUGCGGGUGCCAAGCAGGGCAGGGGUCCCACUGCCCCACGCUGUGUGGGGGAGCUCUGCCAUGAGUGCCCAGAGGCCCCAAUCGCCACUCCUGUAACUGGAUCAAGAGGCAGCUGUCUUUGGUAGACGUAAGAAAAGUUUUUUUUGGCCAUCUUACAAGGACUGUCAAGUCUGGCCUUCCCUGGUUUGACCUGCAGAUGUGUUGCAGGGUAUCAGAGACUAUGUAUUGAUUGUUCUCACACACCAUGUGAGGGAUUGGGUUAGUUGCUCAUUUUUAUAAUUUGAAGAAAGAAUUGUUUGUUGUUAACCUUCAUGCUCCUCUUCUAAUUAAGGUGUGAGAACUGAGAAAGCUCAUCAGAAAAUCCAGGAAAAACUAGAGUUGACAUGCCUAGCAGUUGUUAAGGUUGUAAAAUUACAGAAGAGUUUGUGGAAAAUAUUUGUGGAAUUUUU